rnacentral:sRNA from 1 species
UCCGCGCCCACUGGUUGCUCGCUCCGGGGCAGGGCUCGCGAUAGCGAGCGGGAGCAGGGCGCGGGGCGGCACCGGGUCCGAAGCGAGGAAGCCGGAAGCCAGGCGCGGAGAGCCUCCCCCUUCGACUGCGGCCUCGCUUGGCGCCUUCUGCGCGCUUGGGAUCCCGGAGCCUACCUAGGUUCUGCGUGCUCCCGCCCAGGCCGGUGCCCGCUGCCCGCCUGCGCCCCAGGCGGGUCUCAGGCCCCGGCUGCUCCCGGCCGAAGCCCCGAGUGCGAGAUUGAGCGUCCUGAGCGCCUGACCGCAGCCCUGGACCGCCUGCGGCAGCGCGGCCUGGAACAGAGGUGUCUGCUGUUGUCAGCCCGCGAGGCCUCGGAAGAGGAGCUGGGCCUGGUGCACAGAGUACCUUUCACUGUGCGCGGCUGGCCGCAGGGGCUGGACUGCAGCUGGUGGACGCUGUGCUCACGGGAGCUGUGCAAAAUGGGCUUGCCCUGGUGAGGCCCCCAGGGCACCACAGCCAGAGGGCGGCUGCCAACGGGUUCUGUGUGUUCAACAACGUGGCCAUAGCAGCUGCACAUGCCAAGCAGAAACACGGGCUACACAGGAUCCUCGUCGUGGACUGGGAUGUGCAUCAUGGCCAGGGGAUCCAGUAUCUCUUUGAGGAUGACCCCAGCAUCCUUUACUUCUCCUGGCACCGCUAUGAGCAUGGGCGCUUCUGGCCUUUCCUGCGAGAGUCAGAUGCCGACGCAGUGGGGCGGGGACAGGGCCUCGGCUUCACUGUCAACCUGCCCUGGAACCAGGUCGGGAUGGGAAACGCUGACUACGUGGCUGCCUUCCUGCACCUGCUGCUCCCACUGGCCUUUGAGGAUUUGACUCAGCCAUCGGGGACCCUGAGGUGAGGGCCUUGCCUGGCCAGGGAGGGCUUCUGGGGUCCUGGGGCCCAGGUCCCCCAUCACACAUGGCUCUGGUUCCAGGGGCAAAUGCAGGCCACGCCAGAGUGCUUCGCCCACCUCACACAGCUGCUGCAGGUGCUGGCCGGCGGCCGGGUCUGCGCCGUGCUGGAGGGCGGCUACCACCUGGAGUCACUGGCGGAGUCAGUGUGCAUGACAGUACAGACGCUGUUGGGUGACCCGGCUCCACCCCUGUCAGGGUCAAUGGUGCCAUGUCAGAGGUGCGAGGGGAGGUAGGGCAGGCGGGGCUGGGGUGUGAGGCCAGGUGUCACGACUGUUGUGUCUCCCCCACAGUGCCCUGGAGUCCAUCCAGAGUGCCCGUGCUGCCCAGGCCCCGCACUGGAAGAGCCUCCAGCUGCAAGGUCAGUGUGGCCGGGUGCUAGGCUGCAGGAUCCCACCUCGGGCUCCCGUGCAGUGGCUAUGACUCCGAACUGUCCCUAGAUGUGACCCCUGUGCUGAUGAGCCCCAGCAUUCUCUCCCCAGAGGAGAGGCCUCCACCUCUGCUGCCUGGGGGUCCAGUGUGUAAGGGAGCUGCAUCUGCACCGAGCUCCCUCCUGGACCAGCCGUGCCUCUGCCCUGCACCCUCUGUCCGCACCGCUGUUGCCCUGACAGCACCAGAUAUCACAUUGGUCCUGCCCCCUGACGUCAUCCAACAGGAAGGGUCAGCCCUAAGGGAGGAGACAGAAGCCUGGGCCAGGCCACACGAGUCCCUGGCCCGGGAGGAGGCCCUCGCUGCACUUGGGAAGCUCCUGUACCUCUUAGAUGGGAUGCUGGAUGGGCAGGUGAACAGUGGUAUAGCAGCCACUCCAGCCUCUGCUGCAGCAGCCACCCUGGAUGUGGCUAUUCGGAGAGGCCUGUCUCAUGGAGCCCAGAGGCUGCUGUGUGUGGCCCUGGGACAGCUGGACCGGCCUCCGGACCUCGCCCAUGACGGGAGGAGUCUGUGGCUGAACAUCAGGGGCAAGGAGGCGGCUGCCCUAUCCAUGUUCCAUGUCUCCACGCCACUGCCAGCGAUGACCGGUGGUUUCCUGAGCUGCAUCUUGGGCUUGGUGCUGCCCCUGGCCUACAGCUUCCAGCCUGACCUGGUGCUGGUGGCGCUGGGGCCUGGCCAUGGCCUGCAGGGCCGCCACGCUGCACUCCUGGCUGCAAUGCUUCGGGGGCUGGCAGGGGGCCGAGUCCUGGCCCUCCUGGAGGAGGACUCCACGCCCCAGCUAGCAGGGAUCCUGGCCCGGGUGCUGAAUGGAGAGGCACCUCCUAGCCUAGGCGCUUCCUCUGUGGCCUCCCCAGAGGACGUCCGGGCUCUGAUGUACCUGAGAGGGCAGCUGGAGCCUCAGUGGAAGAUGUUGCAGUGCCAUCCUCACCUGGUGGCUUGAAAUCGGCCAAGGUGGGAGCAUUUACACCGCAGAAAUGACACCGCACGCCAGCGCCCCGCGGCCGC